UAUUUUGGGAGCAAGCGGUGUCCGGAUUUACUGGGUGUAAAGGGUGCGUAGGCGGCUCUGCAAGUCAGGUGUGAAAACUAUGGGCUUAACUCAUAGAUUGCACUUGAAACUGUGGAGCUUGAGUGAAGUAGAGGCAGGCGGAAUUCCCGGUGUAGCGGUGAAAUGCGUAGAGAUCGGGAGGAACACCAGUGGCGAAGGCGGCCUGCUGGGCUUUAACUGACGCUGAGGCACGAAAGCAUGGGUAGCAAACAGG
rnacentral:rRNA from 1 species